CUACGGGCCGCUGCAGUGAGGAAUAUUGCACAAUGGGGGGAACCCUGAUGCAGCAACGCCGCGUGGAGGAUGACGCAUCUCGGUGUGUAAACUCCUUUUAUAUGUCAAGAAAAUGACGGUAGCAUAUGAAUAAGCACCGGCUAACUCCGUGCCAGCAGGCCGCGGUAAUACGGAGGGUGCAAGCGUUACUCGGAAUCACUGGGCGUAAAGGACGCGUAGGCGGGUUGGAAAGUCAGGUGUGAAAUCCUACAGCUUAACUGUAGAACUGCACUUGAAACUUCUAAUCUAGAGUAUGGGAGGGGGAGAUGGAAUUAGUGGUGUAGGGGUAAAAUCCGUAGAUAUCACUAGGAAUACCUAAAGCGAAGGCGAUCUCCUGGAACAUUACUGACGCUAAGGCGUGAAAGCGUGGGGAGCAAACAGGAUUAGAUACCCUAGUAGUC
rnacentral:rRNA from 1 species